UGAAUUCUGUAUUAGACAGUAUUGCCCCCCACUCCCCCCACAUCCUCUCUAUCCUUCUUCCGAUAUUGCUCGUGUCUCUCACGCAGCCUCUACACAAAGGUUAUGUGGUGUUGGCGACUUGACGUGCGAUAGAUGCGCGUGAGAAUAGAGGCAUUUGCUUAUUCUUGUUUAUUGUAUCAGUAGCAUCAUCUCCUGCGUUACGUUCAAUUAUAUUUUAAGGGAGUUAAGGAGAAAAAAAAAAAUAGAAGUUAAAUUUUGUUAUAAAAAUGUUUAGUUGCUCUUUUGUUUUUGAACGACCCACAGUUUUGUUUUUGUUACAACUUCAUCACCAAAAUGAUUGGUAGAGAUGGGAGAAUCGAUCUAACGGUAGGAAUUGAUUUUUUAAAUCCUCUCAAACUUUUUUUUUACACUCUCUAUUGAAAGCCAUUUUGCAUUAAAUUUCUAGAACAUUUCAUAAAAUGUACCUAAAGAAAAAGGUUUGGAACUGACCAAUAAAUCUUGGAAACCCAUUGGGUAAAU
rnacentral:lncRNA from 1 species